rnacentral:rRNA from 1 species
GCAGAGCCGCGAACGGGUGAGUAACACGUGGGUAACCUACCCCGAAGACUGGGACAACCCGAGGAAACUCGGGCUAAUACCAGAUGUGGUCUCCCUUCACAAGUAGGGCGACUAAAGGAAGCUUCGGCCUCCGCUUUGGGAGGGGCCCGCGGCCCAUUAGCUUGUUGGUGAGGUAACGGCUCACCAAGGCUUCGAUGGGUAGCUGGUCUGAGAGGACGAUCAGCCACACUGGGACUGAGACACGGCCCAGACUCCUACGGGAGGCAGCAGUGGGGAAUCUUGCGCAAUGGGCGACAGCCUGACGCAGCAACGCCGCGUGAGGGAAGAAGGCUUUCGGGUCGUAAACCUCUUUCAGGUGGGACGAAGCUUCGUCGGUGAAUAGCCGUGCGGAGUGACGGUACCGCCACAAGCAGCCCCGGCUAACUACGUGCCAGCAGCCGCGGUAAUACGUAGGGGGCAAGCGUUGUCCGGAAUCAUUGGGCGUAAAGCGCGCGUAGGCGGCCAGAAAAGUCCGGUGUGAAAGUCAAAGGCUCAACCUUUGAAUGCCGCAGGAAA